AAUUCAUGACAAGUGUAGCUUCUCAAGAGUUCUUUGAAUUUGUCCCAUGCCUCUUGCAGUGUUUCAUCUUUCUGCUAAGAAAAAGCCAAGAUUUCUUGCCUCAAUUU